rnacentral:rRNA from 1 species
AACGUACGCUGGCGGCACGCCUAACACAUGCAAGUCGAACGAAGUAGCAAUACUUAGUGGCAGACGGGUGAGUAACAUGUAGGUAUCUGUCCUUUGGCCUGGAAUAACACGAGGAAACUUGUGCUAAUACCGGAUAAGUCUUUACGGAGAAAGCUUUAUGCACCAUUGGAUGAGCCUGCACUUGAUUAGUUUGUUGGUGGGGUAAUGGCCUACCAAGACUGUGAUCAAUAGCUGAUUUGAGAGGAUGAUCAGCCACAUUGGGACUGAGACACGGCCCAAACUCCUACGGGAGGCAGCAGUGGGGAAUCUUGCACAAUGGAGGAAACUCUGAUGCAGCGAUGCCGCGUGAGUGAAGAAGGCCCUUGGGUUGUAAAGCUCUUUCGUCGGGGAAGAAAAUGACUGUACCCGAAUAAGAAGGUCCGGCUAACUUCGUGCCAGCAGCCGCGGUAAUACGAAGGGACCUAGCGUAGUUCGGAAUUACUGGGCUUAAAGAGUUCGUAGGUGGUUGAAAAAGUUAGUGGUGAAAUCCCAGAGCUUAACUCUGGAACUGCCAUUAAAACUUUUCAGCUAGAGUAUGAUAGAGGAAAGCAGAAUUUCUAGUGUAGAGGUGAAAUUCGUAGAUAUUAGAAAGAAUACCAAUUGCGAAGGCAGCUUUCUGGAUCAUUACUGACACUGAGGAACGAAAGCAUGGGUAGCGAAGAGGAUUAGAUACCCUCGUAGUCCAUGCCGUAAACGAUGUGUGUUAGACGUUGGAAAUUUAUUUUCAGUGUCGCAGGGAAACCGAUAAACACACCGCCUGGGGAGUACGACCGCAAGGUUAAAACUCAAAUGAAUUGACGGGGACCCGCACAAGUAGUGGAGCAUGUGGUUUAAUUCGAAGAUACGCGCAGAACCUUACCAACACUUGACAUGUUCGUCGCGACUCUAAGAGAUUAGAGUUUUCGGUUCGGCCGGACGAAACACAGGUGCUGCAUGGCUGUCGUCAGCUCGUGUCGUGAGAUGUUGGGUUAAGUCCCGCAACGAGCGCAACCCUCACUUUUAGUUGCCAUCAUUAAGUUGGGCACUCUGAAAGAACUGCCAGUGAUAAGCUGGAGGAAGGUGGGGAUGACGUCAAGUCCUCAUGGCCCUUACGUGUUGGGCUACACACGUGCUACAAUGGUAUCUACAACAGGAAGCAAGACUGCGAAGUUAAGCAAAUCCCUAAAAGAUACCUCAGUUCGGAUUGCACUCUGCAACUCGAGUGCAUGAAGCUGGAAUUACUAGUAAUCGUGAAUCAGCGUGCCACGGUGAAAUGCGUUCCCGGGUCU